UACAGAGGGUGCGAGCGUUAAUCGGAAUUACUGGGCGUAAAGCGCGCGUAGGCGGCUUUGCAAGUUGGGUGUGAAAUCCCCAGGCUUAACCUGGGAACUGCAUUCGAGACUGCAUUGCUAGAGUAUGGGAGAGGGAAGUGGAAUUUCCGGUGUAGCGGUGAAAUGCGUAGAUAUCGGAAGGAACAUCAGUGGCGAAAGCGACUUCCUGGACCAAUACUGACGCUCAUGUGCGAAAGCGUGGGGAGCAAACAGG
rnacentral:rRNA from 1 species